AUCUCUGUAAAGGUACAAUUUUCAUUUCAAACAAAAUGUGGAUCGGUUUGCGUGACACUUCGGUCGUUAUUGGAAAAUUACAUAAAUUCUAAAACAGGAAACAAAUAUCUGCUACAAUAUCGGAUCAAAAGCCGUCUUUUAUGUUUGAUCUAGAUUUUUGACUCGAAAAUAUCGUGGUUUUCGUCCGAUUCUCCAAACGUCAAUCCCCAAUGAUGUCAUAUCAACGGAGAAAAAGGAUUAUUGACGAUUCCUUGCUUCCAGUAUCUAAGAUUUAUUCUUGGUUCUUGGCGAUGUGACUUUCGCCAGACACUCCAAUUACUGUUCGAUUUAUAAACUUGAACUACAGUUGGAGUGUCUGGCAAGGUAAGUGUUGAAGGCAUUUAGUGCAUAUCUGAUUCUAAUGGUGAUUAUUCUUCCAAUGAGAAUAAAAUACAGAAGACACGGGCUUUAUUCAGCGGCAUGGUUUAAAGGUAAAAGAAUUGACAAUAAGAUAGAAGAGAAAAGGAACUCGUGAAAGGUAAAGAUAAUAAAGAAAGCAGGAAAAAUACGUGGUUUCGAGACACUGCGUUUGUCUAUCCGCAAAAGGAUCAGCCUUAAAGUGCAGAUUUAAUCCCGACAUCUCCCAGUUAGGAAAAUGUAAUAUUCUAUUUGUGAGAAAUAAGUAAAUACGUAGACAAGACAUGGAAGACGUGACCUGCUCUUAGGAAAGUUGUUACGUGAAUGGAAAGUGGAUCUUUGAACAAUCGCCGAUCCUCUAACGAACGAAGACGAAAUCUGCAAAAUACAAUCGGAGGUGAAAUCCAUUAACCUAAACUUGGAACGAAUGAGAUUAACGGAGAGUAAGAGGGACAGAGAAGUAGUCCCAUAUCAUAAUAAGUAUUAAUAGCUUAAGUUUUCCAUUUUUUUGUUUAAUUCUACAAGGUUUAAAAUGCUUGUGUUAUAUGAGCAUUUUUUAAAAUAAUCUUGAGACCGACUGAAUAUUUAUUGGGUUCGAAUGGAUAGAGGGGGAAGAAAGAGAACAAAAAUCAUUAUUGGUCGUUUUAUUUAUGAUUACCUCGGGCGCGAUCCAGUUUUUCUCUCUACUUGCUACACUGUCAAGCAAGUAGGGUUGGUUUCUGAAUAAGAAAAAAAAACCACCACAAAAUGGGUGUCAUCUUGACGUGGUUUUGUGGCUUAAGUGUUGAAAAUUUUAUGAUAAUUAUGGAAAUUGAAUUUUCCACAAACCGAGAACAUCCGACAGCAUUCAUUUUCGAGAUUUCUAGGGAUGUUUCAGAGUUGUACCGUAAAGAAUCUGAAGCGCUGUUUCCAUAUAACAAGAGAGAAUGAAUUUCUCCUGGUAUCUUGGGAAUAACUAAACGAAACCUCCAUAUAUGAUAAAUGUUUAUUUACAAGGCUCUAUGUAUUAGCUUUGUUUUGUCUUUUUGUUUUCUUCUUGAUGAAGCUGAGAAAAGCGAUGCUACGCUCGAUCUGGUUUUGUCAAUUUGGUCAAUUAUAAAGGCAUGCCGACUUUCAUGUCUGACUGGAACUUGACAUGAUAACAUUUUUGCUGAUCGAAUUUACUUCGGGCAUUUUUUCUUUAUCUAAUACAGUUAAUGAAUGUUUCUGUAUUGUCUUUGUAUCACUCGUGAAGACUGGUGUAAUAUAGAAGCUUACAUCAUUAUAUUUCUACAAGUAGAGUGGAGAAUUCAACUUACUACAAACUCUUUUAGAUUAUACAGAUAUAAACAUACAGAAUAUAUUUCGUUGAUGUUUCAAUGUACAGACUUUUAUAUCAAAUUUUAAUGGACAUAUGUAUAUCGUGUAUUUAGGAACAUCACAAUCUAUUUUUCAUAUCUAAAUAUAGAUUGUUUUGUUUGCCCCUAGAUUUGAGAUUUAAACAAUUAGAUAAAGGAUACAAAUCUAGAUUGUUUCAUCUCGAAUUUAACUAUUUUCUAGAUUUUAUUUAAUUAUUAAAGUGAAGGUAAGAUCAGAAGAGUUUCAAGUGGUAAGUGUAGUACUUAAUUUCUGGAUAGGGCACAAUAACGUGUGUUUAAUACCAGUGAAUCCUCAAAUUAUAAAAAUAUAACUAUAUAUUUAUAAUCUCAGUAAUUUGAAGUAAAUGGCAUCCACGCAAACGUAUUGGCAUUUCUGUUCUUUUCGCUGCACUAAAUACUUACCUCCAAAAGACUUACUGCAGCAUUGCAGAGAUUGAACCUACAAAUUUUUUAAUGAGCCAUCUUGUUGGCCAAAAUGGCUGAUGAAAAAUGCUCCUAUAUCUCCUUGGAGGAACUCACGAAGGGUUGGAUUAAAAAACACCCUUUUAUUGCUUACAGUACGGAAAGAGUCAAGUAUAGGCCUAUACAUCGUUUAAAAUAUCAGACACUUUUAUAUAAUUUAUUAAAUUAUAAAAAAAUAUAUAUUUAUUUAACGUUGAAA
rnacentral:lncRNA from 1 species